UAGGGAAUUUUCGUCAAUGGGCGCAAGCCUGAACGAGCGAUGCCGCGUGAGUGAAGAAGGCCUUCGGGUCGUAAAGCUCUGUUGCGGGGGAAAAAAGGCAGCAUCAGGAAAUGGGUGCUGACUGAUGGUGCCCCGCCAGAAAGUCACGGCUAACUACGUGCCAGCAGCCGCGAAUAAUACAUAGCU
rnacentral:rRNA from 1 species